rnacentral:lncRNA from 1 species
GGUUGAACCACCCACCAUGUACAGUAUUAUACUGAUGCACAGACAUAUACUCAUGUUGUUGUUGUUUAGUUCUUUAGUCAUGUCCGACUCUUCGUGACCGCAUGGACCAGAGCACGCCAGGCCCUCCUGUCUUCCACUGCCUCCCAGAGUUGGGUCAAAGUCAUGUUGGUAGCUUCGAUGACACUGUCCUACCAUCUCAUCCUCUGUCAUCCCCUUCUCCUCCUGCCUUCACACUUUCCUAACACCAGCAUCUUUCACAGUGGUAUCAUCUGCAUAUCUGAGGUUGUUGAUAUUUCUUCUGGCAAUCUUAAUUCCGGCUUGGGAUUCCUCCAGUCUGGCCUUUCGCAUGAUGUAUUCUGCAUAUGUUAAAUAAGCCGGGGGACAAUAUACAGCCUUUUGAACCAAUCAGUUCUUCCAUAUCCAGUUCUAACUCUUGCUUCCUGUCCCAUGUAUAGAUUUCUCAGGAGACAGAUAAGGUGGUCAGGCACUCCCAGUUCUUUAAGAACUUGCCAUAGUUUGUUGUGGUCCAUGCAGUCAAAGGCUUUUGUGUAGUCAAUGAAGCAGAAGUAGAUGUUUUUCUGGAACUCUCUGGCUUUCUCCAUAAUCCAGCACAUGUUAGCAAUUUGGUCUCUAGUUCCUCUGCCCCUUGCUGCUGUGUAAAUUAGGUUAAAAUAAUUCACCCCUUGUUAUCCCAUGAGAUCCAUUUGUGGGCAGUGCCUGACCAUGAAUUUUGCACAAGAAUGCCUUGUGAUUGUUGCAGAAAUUGCCUGUCUUUCAAGAUCCAACAGCUGCCGCUCAUCUCUCACGCCUUGGUUUUAAUUGGAUGACAUCUCUGCAAAAUUUCACGGCUGCUCAUGGCUUAGUCAUUCAUUGUCGUGAUCAAUUCCCUCUCCCGGAUAACAGAAGAAAAAGGUGUCAGGUAUAUGCUUCAUUAAAUAAGGCUGCUGUCAUGGUGAGCCAGGUUCCAAACAUUACUCUAAAACUGGGAUUGAUUGUGCUUCUUUUAAAGAAAUCCAAACUAGGAUCUGCAAAGCAGCCUUGCAGGAUAUGCUCUAGAUCGAAUCCCUCUGCAGGCUCCGUAUCAGUUUUCUCACCAGGAGAUGAAUUCUGAUCUCCGCCUCUUUCGUUGAGCUUGGAGACAUCAACAAAACAGACCAGCUUCCGCUCCUUGUCACUUUUCAGUUUGUCAUUGCUGAAGAGAUUUACUUUACACAGACUCGCCCGACAGUGUAACCAGUCAAUGUCCUGGGCCAUCAUAUUGGAAUCGGAUUCAGGGUCUUCUUUUUGCUGAAGAGUUGCCAUGAUCCUGUGAGAUUAGUGCCUCUUCUUUCACCUUUCCAUGCCCUUCUGAUUUCAGGAUAUGUCUUCCCAAACAUAGACACCUGGUUUCUCAGGUAGCAGUGACAUCACAGACCUUUAACAUCUGAGGUCAGCCGCGUGUCAGCAGUACUGUAUUUUUAAAAGGCACGGUGCUUAACCUGUAAAAACUGAGGGGGAAUGUUAGCCUUACAGGAGCUUUGGACAAAAAUUGCCAACCAUUGUCAGCAUUGACCGUGCUGGCUGACACUUAGUGGAACUGAAGUCCAAAACAUUUAGCAGCCAAAGGUGGUUUUAAACUUUUGGAUUAAAGUUGUUGUAUGUUGGUGAAUUGGGAGUGUCUCCUUUGUCUUUCUUUAAAUUAAAAAAUGUAGGCCACAAACAUCUGGCCUAUAAGAUGUUUAGAUAGGUAGUACACAUCUGGCCUACAGAUAUUCACUGUAGACCAUAAAUAGAUGGGCUGCUAAUCUGUCUUGGAUCCUUGCUUUGGGGGAAAGGUGGGAAUAAAUAAAUAAAUACAUUUAAAAAAACUUGACA